rnacentral:rRNA from 1 species
UGAGGAAUAUUGGUCAAUGGGCGGGAGCCUGAACCAGCCAAGCCGCGUGAGGGAAGAAGGCCCUAUGGGUCGUAAACCUCUUUUGUCAGGGAACAAAAAUGCGAGUAUGUAUACUAGUCUGAGUGUACCUGAAGAAAAAGGCAUCGGCUAACUCCGUGCCAGCAGCCGCGGUAAUACGGAGGAUGCGAGCGUUAUCCGGAUUUAUUGGGUUUAAAGGGUGCGUAGGCGGCGAUGCAAGUCAGCGGUAAAAGCCCGGGGCUCAACCCCGGCGAGCCGUUGAAACUGCAGUGCUAGAGAAGGCGAGAGGUACGCGGAAUGCGCAGUGUAGCGGUGAAAUGCUUAGAUAUUGCGCAGAACUCCGAUUGCGAAGGCAACGUACUGGCGCCUGACUGACGCUGAGGCACGAAAGCGUGGGGGAUCGAACAGGAUUAGAUACC